GACGAACGCUGGCGGCGUGCCUAAUACAUGCAAGUAGAACGCUGAAGAGAGGAGCUUGCUCUUCUUGGAUGAGUUGCGAACGGGUGAGUAACGCGUAGGUAACCUGCCUUGUAGCGGGGGAUAACUAUUGGAAACGAUAGCUAAUACCGCAUAACAAUGGAUGACACAUGUCAUUUAUUUGAAAGGAGCAAUUGCUCCACUACAAGAUGGACCUGCGUUGUAUUAGCUAGUAGGUGAGGUAAUGGCUCACCUAGGCGACGAUACAUAGCCGACCUGAGAGGGUGAUCGGCCACACUGGGACUGAGACACGGCCCAGAGUCCUACGGGAGGCAGCAGUAGGGAAUCUUCGGCAAUGGGGGCAACCCUGACCGAGAAACGCCGCGUGAGUGAAGAAGGUUUUCGGAUCGUAAAGCUCUGUUGUAAGUCAAGAACGGGUGUGAGAGUGGAAAGUUCACACUGUGACGGUAGCUUACCAGAAAGGGACGGCUAACUACGUG
rnacentral:rRNA from 1 species